UAAAAACAUCCCGCGGACAACCUUUUCCCACACGUUAUAGUUCUAAGCAUACAUACAAAAUUAUGCACCAAAAUCAAGCGCAUAGAACCAUGUUCUUACAAGCAUAGAAAGUUACAGUCUAACCAUACAUAAAAACUUAUGAAUAGAAAUAUAGAUCGACGUGCUCAUCUAUCAGACCAAGAUCGACGAUACACUGUACUAUAGAGAGAAAAGAGCUAGUGAGGUCAGCAGCAUUUUGAGGAGGGAGCCACUUCACACAUGAGAUCUUACAGAUCUGCAUUUUGAGGUUAAGAGGAAAGGGACUCACCCUGCCAAUCUACAGCAAGCUGCUGCAGCAGGCCGUGCCCGCCGUGCGUUGGGGCCGCGCUGGGCUGCCGCAAUCCGCCCUGUUGCCUGCGGACCUUGCUGUUCCAUACUCUAUCCACG
rnacentral:lncRNA from 1 species